rnacentral:lncRNA from 1 species
GUUUUUCUCCAAUAUAUGAACAAAUAUACCCCCAAGGAGGCACCAUCCUUACUGUCCUACACUGUAAAAAAUCUCGGUUAAUGUUUAUCCAAUACUUGGUGCAAAGUUUGCUAAUUGCACCAUAAAUAGGAUAAAUCAAAAAUUAUUUUAUCUAGGUUGCACCAUAAAUUGGAAAAUAUGAUCAAGAAAUGCGUUUAUGGCGCAAUCGAUUGCACCAAACUUUCGUACUAUGACAGGCACGUGACCGAUGACUUAUUACGUAGUUGUUGACAAGAUGGACGACUUUGUUGUUGAAUCUUGAUAUCAUCUCAUGCAAGUUGUCUUUGAAAUUGUCCAUUUCUUUUGAAGCAUAAAGAUACCAACAACUUCAAUGAUUUUAAUUGAGAAAGAGACACAGGAAAAAAUAUUGUUAUACCCAGUGCCGAACCAAUUGAUUCUGCCAAAAUCACCAGAAUUCCAGAAGGUUAUAAACAGUUUUUUCACACUUGAAAAGUGCUAGUUUCAAGAACAGCUUACAAACAAGGAAUGUGUAUAGUUUCAAGUUUUGAGAAUGAAGAACCUGUGCUUGGAAAAACAAUUAUUCUUUUGUAAAUAGGCUCCAAAAUUUUAUUUGUGUGUAAUCUUUUUAAAACUUGUUGUGUUUUUUACAAUCAACUAAAAAAUGUGAUAUAGUUAAAGUAAUAACACCAGAAAAUCUAUAAUCAUGAAUAUGUAAUAAAAAUAUUGUUUUUUCUCAAAUACUCACCAUCAUUUACUAAUUUAUAAAAAAAAAUUACAGUAUUUUUUUUCAAACUGUGGGAAAUUUUACUCUUUUUAUCAAGUAGUAAAUUAUGCUUGUAAAAAAGUAAUUUAGCUAUAUUGUAGAUUUUAAUUCAGAUGAGGCAGAAUAUGCCAAGAAAUUUAGUAUCUUAUUAAAAUAUAGAAAAUUAUUUUCAGAUGAUCCCAAAUUUCAAAACUCUAAACAUUGAGGCAUAACAUAAUUUUUAUUUUAAAUUACUGUAAAUUUAAAAUAAGUUUGAAUUGAAUGCACUCUCUUAGUAACAAAAACAUACUAUCGAUCAUAUUUCUGAGUGAAUAUUUUGUAUUUUUUUUUAAUGAAUGCUGUGAUAUGUAUAAAAAGUAUAAUAUAUUUAAAUUUUAAGAUUUUGCUUAAAAAUUAUUACAUUCUGUCUAUGUAUACAAAUAUCAAAGUGAUUGUAAAUGAAUAAAUUAUGUUUAAAUAUU